rnacentral:rRNA from 1 species
UACGUAGGUGGCGAGCGUUAUCCGGAAUUAUUGGGCGUAAAGAGCGCGCAGGUGGUUGAUUAAGUCUGAUGUGAAAGCCCACGGCUUAACCGUGGAGGGUCAUUGGAAACUGGUCGACUUGAGUGCAGAAGAGGGAAGUGGAAUUCCAUGUGUAGCGGUGAAAUGCGUAGAUAUUAGGAGGAACACCAGUGGCGAAGGCGACUUCCUGGACUGUAACUGACGCUGAGGCGCGAAAGCGUGGGUAGCAAACAGGAUUAGAUACCCCGGUA